UCCCCCAGUAACUGCGAGUGAAGAGGGAAGAGCUCAUCAUUGGAAUCUGGCAGUGUUGCACUGUCCGAGUUGUAGAUGAGGAGUAGUCCGUCUGGACUGCAUGGCGUCCAAGUACAAUAGGCCGUCAGUGGGACAUCAUAGAGGGUGACAAUCCCGUCCUUGAUGCCAAUGUGCAAGUCCGUUACGAUGGCUAUCUCAGAGAGUCGAGCAGUUUGGGAUUUGCUGCUUAAACAUGGGAGGUAGAUUCCUUCUAAAGCUAAAUACAGGCGAGAGACCGAUAGAGAACAAGUACCGCAAGGGAAAGAUGAAAUAGAACUCUGUGAAGGGAGUCAAAAGGCGUGAAAUUGUUGCGAGAGAAGCGAUUCAAGUCAGCGUAGCUAGGCCCAUCAAGCGUCUUCGCUUUGGACUAGCUUUGCCAGCGGUCUUGUCCUUAGAGACUUGACUUUGUAUAUGUGUCCAGCCUGGUAUGCACAGGUAGCCCCUCUGGGGGCCAGUGGCACGGCUGGUGGAAUGGCUUGCAAUCGACCCGUCUUGAAACACGGACCAAGGAGUCUAACAUGUAUGCGAGUAUAAGGGUGGCAAACCCGUAUGCGCAAUGAAAGUGAUUUUCGGUGAUUGAGAAUGGCCUGAUGACCAGACAAGCAAUACAUGUCCCUCGGACGGCCAUUGCCCAAGUUCCGUGGUAGAUCCCAUGAACAUGGAGUUGGAGCAUACAUGCUAGGACCCGAAAGAUGGUGAACUAUGCCUGGACAAAGCGAAGCCAAAGGAAACUCUGGUGGAGGCUUGUAGCGAUUCUGACGUGCAAAUCGAUCGUCUGAUCUGGGUAUAGGGGCGAAAGACUAAUCGAACCAUCUCAUAGCUGGUUCCUGCCGAAGUUUCCCUCAGGAUAGCAGAGACCUAGUGGAAGUUGCAUGUGGUAAAGCGAAUGAUUAUUGAUCCUGGGGCUCAAAUGGGCCUCAGUCUAUUCUCAAACUGUGAAUGCGUGCGGUUGGACUGUGCUUAGCAAUAGAAGC
rnacentral:rRNA from 1 species